ACGCUGGCGGCACGCCUAAUACAUGCAAGUCGAACGAAGUAGCAAUACUUAGUGGCAGACGGGUGAGUAACAUGUGGGUAUCUUCCCUUUGGUGAGGAAUAACACGAGGAAACUUGUGCUAAUACCUCAUAAGUCUUUACGGAGAAAGCUUUAUGCGCCAUUGGAUGAGCCCGCACUUGAUUAGUUUGUUGGUGGGGUAAAAGCCUACCAAGACUGUGAUCAAUAGCUGAUUUGAGAGGAUGAUCAGCCACAUUGGGACUGAGACACGGCCCAAACUCCUACGGGAGGCAGCAGUAGGGAAUCUUGCACAAUGGAGGAAACUCUGAUGCAGCGAUGCCGCGUGAGUGAAGAAGGCCUUUGGGUUGUAAAGCUCUUUCGUCGGGGAAGAAAAUGACUGUACCCGAAUAAGAAGGUCCGGCUAACUUCGUGCCAGCAGCCGCGGUAAUACGAAGGGACCUAGCGUAGUUCGGAAUUACUGGGCUUAAAGAGUUCGUAGGUGGUUAAAAAAGUUGGUGGUGAAAGCCCAGAGCUUAACUCUGGAACUGCCAUCAAAACUUUUUAGCUAGAGUAUGAUAGAGGAAAGCAGAAUUUCUAGUGUAGAGGUGAAAUUCGUAGAUAUUAGAAAGAAUACCAAUUGCGAAGGCAGCUUUCUGGAUCAUUACUGACACUGAGGAACGAAAGCAUGGGUAGCGAAGAGGAUUAGAUACCCUCGUAGUCCAUGCCGUAAACGAUGUGUGUUAGAUGUUGGAAAUUUAUUUUCAGUAUCGCAGCGAAAGCGAUAAACACACCGCCUGGGGAGUACGACC
rnacentral:rRNA from 1 species